rnacentral:lncRNA from 1 species
GUAAGAACUCGCGCCCGAGGCCUCCCUCCCCCGCACCCCGCCCUUUCACGCUCCGGCCGCCCUCCUAAUUUAGGCCCCUGGAGGUGGGUUUCGGAUGCUCGGCUCCGAGAGGCCGGGCGCGCGGGGGCGACCGCACCUGCCAGCCCCCCGUCGUGAUCCCCUCCGGACCAGGCGUGGUCACGUGCUUCCUCCUGCCCGGGAAUCGAGUUUCACUUCCAGCCGCUAUUAGGCGGUUCACACGGUUCACUGCAAACAUUGAUAAUGAGGCUAAAUAUACACUCCAGUCGGGAGGCGUGGGCGGCCGUGCCCGAGCGCGCGGGCGCGGCGUUCCGGGCUCUGCCGGGCAUCCCCGCCCAGGCCGGGAGAUCGAGGCGCGGUCCCCCCACCGACGCCCGGCUGUGUGCGGGAGGGAGAGACCCGCCCCCCCCCCCAGGACUCCGGCCGCGGGCUGCGGGGGUGCGCGUCCCCUGGGGGCUGCGGGCGCCCCGAGACCGGCCAGAGGGCCCCGCGGAGGAAGGGGGCGCUGCGGGGUCUCCAGGUGGGGAGGCGCUGAUGGGGGGUGAAGGUGCACCUGGCUGCCCGGGAUGUCCGGCCGCCCCCGGAGCCGGAGCCGGGGCUUCUGGGCUAUCUCGGGAGUCCCGGGCGCGCCCCGACGUACCCGCAGGCCCGUAAUUAAGCAGACCCCAGGGAGCACAGACCUGUCCCACCUCCCGUGUCACAGAGGGAGCGUUUGAACGCCAAGAAGUCAGGCCGCAGAGCUGGGGAGUGGCGGAGUACCGGGAGACCGGCUCCCCGACGGCACGGGCCCCUCUGUGCCAGCCUAUUAAAUACAUGCAACACAGGACGCAUUUGUCCCACGGUUUGCAGAAGGACGUGUGGCCACCGGCCAUAAAGGAUGUGGAGCCCAGGCCCACCUGAUCCCCACUGCCAGGGGGGACGGGAGGGGCACACCCGAGUUUUGGCUGCCCUCUGCCCCUUGACCUUGGCCUUCUUGGUGUGGGUCGUCCCCAAUCUGCCCUGGAGAAUGG